rnacentral:rRNA from 2 species
ACAUUUGAGUGAGUGGCGAACUGGUGAGUAACACGUGGGAAACCUGCCCAGAAGCGGGGGAUAACACCUGGAAACAGAUGCUAAUACCGCAUAACAACUUGGACCGCAUGGUCCGAGUUUGAAAGAUGGCUUCGGCUAUCACUUUUGGAUGGUCCCGCGGCGUAUUAGCUAGAUGGUGAGGUAACGGCUCACCAUGGCAAUGAUACGUAGCCGACCUGAGAGGGUAAUCGGCCACAUUGGGACUGAGACACGGCCCAAACUCCUACGGGAGGCAGCAGUAGGGAAUCUUCCACAAUGGACGAAAGUCUGAUGGAGCAACGCCGCGUGAGUGAAGAAGGGUUUCGGCUCGUAAAACUCUGUUGUUAAAGAAGAACAUAUCUGAGAGUAACUGUUCAGGUAUUGACGGUAUUUAACCAGAAAGCCACGGCUAACUACGUGCCAGCAGCCGCGGUAAUACGUAGGUGGCAAGCGUUGUCCGGAUUUAUUGGGCGUAAAGCGAGCGCAGGCGGUUUUUUAAGUCUGAUGUGAAAGCCUUCGGCUCAACCGAAGAAGUGCAUCGGAAACUGGGAAACUUGAGUGCAGAAGAGGACAGUGGAACUCCAUGUGUAGCGGUGAAAUGCGUAGAUAUAUGGAAGAACACCAGUGGCGAAGGCGGCUGUCUGGUCUGUAACUGACGCUGAGGCUCGAAAGUAUGGGUAGCAAACAGGAUUAGAUACCCUGGUAGUCCAUACCGUAAACGAUGAAUGCUAAGUGUUGGAGGGUUUCCGCCCUUCAGUGCUGCAGCUAACGCAUUAAGCAUUCCGCCUGGGGAGUACGGCCGCAAGGCUGAAACUCAAAGGAAUUGACGGGGGCCCGCACAAGCGGUGGAGCAUGUGGUUUAAUUCGAAGCUACGCGAAGAACCUUACCAGGUCUUGACAUACUAUGCAAAUCUAAGAGAUUAGACGUUCCCUUCGGGGACAUGGAUACAGGUGGUGCAUGGUUGUCGUCAGCUCGUGUCGUGAGAUGUUGGGUUAAGUCCCGCAACGAGCGCAACCCUUAUUAUCAGUUGCCAGCAUUAAGUUGGGCACUCUGGUGAGACUGCCGGUGACAAACCGGAGGAAGGUGGGGAUGACGUCAAAUCAUCAUGCCCCUUAUGACCUGGGCUACACACGUGCUACAAUGGAUGGUACAACGAGUUGCGAACUCGCGAGAGUAAGCUAAUCUCUUAAAGCCAUUCUCAGUUCGGAUUGUAGGCUGCAACUCGCCUACAUGAAGUCGGAAUCGCUAGUAAUCGCGGAUCAGCAUGCCGCGGUGAAUACGUUCCCGGGCCUUGUACACACCGCCCGUCACACCAUGA